CAGCAGCCACGGUAAUACGAAGGGGGCUAGCGUUGUUCGGAAUUACUGGGCGUAAAGCGCACGUAGGCGGAUCGAUCAGUCAGGGGUGAAAUCCCAGGGCUCAACCCUGGAACUGCCUUUGAUACUGUCGAGCUGGAGUAUGGAAGAGGUUAGUGGAAUUCCGAGUGUAGAGGUGAAAUUCGUAGAUAUUCGGAGGAACACCAGUGGCGAAGGCGGCUCACUGGUCCAUUACUGACGCUGAGGUGCGAAAGCGUGGGGAGCAAACAGGAUUAGAUACCCCCGUAGUCCCUGUCUCUUAUAC
rnacentral:rRNA from 1 species